UACGUAGGGUGCAAGCGUUGUCCGGAAUUAUUGGGCGUAAAGAGCUCGUAGGCGGUCUGUCGCGUCUGCUGUGAAAACUCGGGGCUUAACCCCGGGCCUGCAGUGGGUACGGGCAGACUAGAGUGCGGUAGGGGAGACUGGAAUUCCUGGUGUAGCGGUGAAAUGCGCAGAUAUCAGGAGGAACACCAAUGGCGAAGGCAGCUCGCUGGGACGGUACUGACGCUGAGACGCGAAAGCGUGGGGAGCGAACAGG
rnacentral:rRNA from 1 species